UCUCGUUGUUCUAAAUUUUCCCAACAAUGAAUGUUCUGUUUUUUUCCUUUCCUCUUUCACGUAAUAGGAUAAUAUGGUGGCAGUCAGCAAGAAAGAGGGAUCCUGCGAAGAUGGGAAGAAAGAUGGGAAAAAACAAGUCAAA
rnacentral:ribozyme from 11 species